GCUCAAAUUUAUAAUCUGGCACCUUCGGUGUCCGAGUUGUAAUCUCUAGAAGUGUUUUCCGCGUUGGACCGCACACAAGUCUGUUGGAAUACAGCGGCAUAGUGGUGAGACCCCCGUAUAUGGUGCGGACGCCCAACGCUUUGUGAUACACUUUCGAAGAGUCGAGUUGUUUGGGAAUGCAGCUCAAAUUGGGUGGUAAAUUCCAUCUAAAGCUAAAUAUUGGCGAGAGACCGAUAGCGAACAAGUACCGUGAGGGAAAGAUGAAAAGCACUUUGGAAAGAGAGUUAACAGUACGUGAAAUUGUUGGAAGGGAAACGCUUGAAGUCAGACUUGCUUGCCGAGCAAUCGGUUUGCAGGCCAGCAUCAGUUUUCCGGGGUGGAUAAUGGUAGAGAGAAGGUAGCAGUUUCGGCUGUGUUAUAGCUCUCUGCUGGAUACACCUUGGGGGACUGAGGAACGCAGUGUGCCUUACGGCGGAUUUCUCGAGAUCUUCACACUUAGGAUGCUGGUGGAAUGGCUUUAAACGACCCGUCUGA
rnacentral:rRNA from 1 species